ACUACAUCCAAGGAAGGCAGCAGGCGCGCAAAUUACCCAAUGCUGAUCCAGCGAGGUAGUGACAAUAAAUACUGAUACGGGGCUCUUUCGGGUCUCGUAAUUGGAAUGAGUACAAUCUAAAUCCCUUAACGAGGAACAAUUGGAGGGCAAGUCUGGUGCCAGCAGCCGCGGUAAUUCCAGCUCCAAUAGCGUAUAUUAAAGUUGUUGCCGUUAAAAAGCUCGUAGUUGAACCUUGGACCUGGCUGAUCUGUCCUCCUAAUCGAGCGCACGGAUUCGGUCGGGUCUUUCCUUCUGGGGAGCCCUAUGCCCUUCACUGGGUGUAGUGGGGAACCAGGACUUUUACCUUGAAAAAAUUAGGGUGUUCAAAGCAGGCCUUUGCUCGAAUACAUUAGCAUGGAAUAAUAGAAUAGGACAUCGGUUCUAUUUUGUUGGUUUCUAGGACCGCUGUAAUGAUUAAUAGGGAUAGUCGGGGGCGUCAGUAUUCAAUUGUCAGAGGUGAAAUUCUUGGAUUUAUUGAAGACUAACUACUGCGAAAGCAUUCGCCAAGGAUGUUUUCAUUAAUCAGUGAACGAAAGUUAGGGGAUCGAAGACGAUCAGAUACCGUCGUAGUCUUAACCAUAAACUAUGCCGACUAGGGAUCGGACGGUGGUUUUUUUAUGCCCCGUUCGGCACCUUACGAGAAAUCAAAGUUUUUGGGCUCGGGGGGGAGUAUGGUCGCAAGGCUGAAA
rnacentral:rRNA from 1 species